rnacentral:rRNA from 1 species
AUUGAACGCUGGCGGCAUGCCUUACACAUGCAAGUCGAACGGCAGCACGGGAGCAAUCCUGGUGGCGAGUGGCGAACGGGUGAGUAAUGUAUCGGAACGUGCCCAGUCGUGGGGGAUAACGCAGCGAAAGCUGUGCUAAUACCGCAUACGAUCUAUGGAUGAAAGCGGGGGAUCGCAAGACCUCGCGCGAUUGGAGUGGCCGAUAUCAGAUUAGCUGGUUGGUGGGGUAAAAGCUUACCAAGGCGAUGAUCUGUAGAUGGUCUGAGAGGACGACCAGCCACACUGGAACUAAGACACAGUCCAGAAUCCUACGGGAGGCAGCAGUGGGGAAUUUUGGACAAUGGGCGCAAGCCUGAUCCAGCAAUGCCGCGUGCAGGAUGAAGGCCUUCGGGUUGUAAACUGCUUUUGUACGGAGCGAAAAGGCUCUCUCUAAUACAGGGGGCUCAUGACGGUACCGUAAGAAUAAGCACCGGCUAACUACGUGCCAGCCGCCGCGGUAA